rnacentral:rRNA from 1 species
AACGAACGCUGGCGGCAGGCUUAACACAUGCAAGUCGAACGCCCCGCAAGGGGAGUGGCAGACGGGUGAGUAACGCGUGGGAACGUACCUUUCAGUUCGGAAUAACUCAGGGAAACUUGUGCUAAUACCGGAUACGCCCGCAAGGGGGAAAGAUUUAUCGCUGAAAAGAUCGGCCCGCGUUGGAUUAGCUAGUUGGUGGGGUAAAGCCUACCAAGGCGACGAUCCAUAGCUGGUCUGAGAGGAUGAUCAGCCACACUGGGACUGAGACACGGCCCAGACUCCUACGGGAGGCAGCAGUGGGGAAUAUUGGACAAUGGGCGCAAGCCUGAUCCAGCCAUGCCGCGUGUGUGAUGAAGGCCUUAGGGUUGUAAAGCACUUUCACCGAUGAAGAUAAUGACGGUAGUCGGAGAAGAAGCCCCGGUAACUUCGUGCCAGCAGCCGCGGUAAAAGAGUAGUACA